rnacentral:rRNA from 1 species
AUUGAACGCUGGCGGCAGGCCUAACACAUGCAAGUCGAGCGGAUGAAGGGAGCUUGCUCCUGGAUUCAGCGGCGGACGGGUGAGUAAUGCCUAGGAAUCUGCCUGGUAGUGGGGGAUAACGUCCGGAAACGGGCGCUAAUACCGCAUACGUCCUGAGGGAGAAAGUGGGGGAUCUUCGGACCUCACGCUAUCAGAUGAGCCUAGGUCGGAUUAGCUAGUUGGUGGGGUAAAGGCCUACCAAGGCGACGAUCCGUAACUGGUCUGAGAGGAUGAUCAGUCACAGAGGGACUGAGAGACGGCCCAGAUGCGUAUGGGAGGCAGAAGUGGGGAGUAUUGCAAAGUGAGUGCAAGGCAGAUGAAGAGAUGUAGCGUACUGGAUAACGUUUUUCGGGUUGAAAACGCAUUUCGCUAGGGACUACGCAUUAUGUGACGGUACCUAGAGAAGAAGCAACGGCUAACUACGUG